UACGUAGGGGGCAAGCGUUGUCCGGAUUUAUUGGGCGUAAAGAGCGUGUAGGCGGCCAGACAGGUCCGUUGUGAAAACUCGAGGCUCAACCUCGAGACGCCGAUGGAAACCGUCUGGCUAGAGUCCGGAAGAGGAGAGUGGAAUUCCUGGUGUAGCGGUGAAAUGCGCAGACAUCAGGAAGAACACCCGUGGCUAAGGCGGCUCUCUAGUACGGUACUGACGCUGAGGCACGAAGCGUGGGGAGCGAACAGG
rnacentral:rRNA from 1 species